CGGCAGACGGGAGAGUAACGCGUGAACACGUACCAUUUGCUACGGAAUAACUCAGGGAAACUUGUGCUAAUACCGUAUGAGCCCCCCUUUAAAAUUUCAGGAAUCAUAGAAUGCCCUGGCAUUUUAUGGGGGGGAAAGAUUUAUCGGCAAAUGAUCGGCCCGCGUUGGAUUAUCUAGUUGGAGGGGUAAAGGCCUACCAGGGAGACAAACCAUAGCUGGACUGAGAGGAUGAUCAGCCACGCUGAGACUGAGACACGGCCCACACUCCUAAGGGAGGCAUGAGUGGUGAAUAUUGGACAAUGGGCGCAAGCCUGAUCUUUCAUGCCGCGUGAGUGAUGAAGGCCCUAAGGUUGUAAAGCUCUUUCACCGGUGAAGAUAAUGACGGUAACCGGAGAAGGGCCCCGGCUAACUUCGUGCCAGCAGCCGCGGUAAUACGAAGGGGGCUAACGUUGUUCGGAUUUACUGGGCGUAGCUCGCACGUAGGCGGGCUAAUAAGUCAGGUGUGAAAU
rnacentral:rRNA from 1 species